rnacentral:misc_RNA from 1 species
UGGUUCUGGCAUCGAUGAAGAACACAGCGAAAUGCGAUAAGUAAUGUGAAUUGCAGAAUUCAGUGAAUCAUCGAAUCUUUGAACGCACAUUGCGCCCCUUGGUAUUCCGGGGGGCAUGCCUGUUCGAGCGUCAUUACAACCCUCAGGCUCUGCUUGGUAUUAGGCGUCCCCGGGAACGGGGUGCCCUAAAAUCAGUGGCGGUGCCGUCUGGCUCUAAGCGUAGUAAAUCUCUCGCUCUGGAGACCCGGUGGAUGCUUGCCAGUAACCCCCAAUUUUUUUUUAAGGUUGACCUCGGAUCAGGUAGGGAUACCCGCUGA